AAACGUGUUUGAUAUUAUUGCAAGUCGCAGUGACGAAAUACGAUCAACAACCAAUAGAUGAGCUCUGACAAAAGCAGAAACAGGAACCCCGACAGUCAGAACACCGGCAAAAAAGAGGAUGAAGAAAAAAAAGACGAAAAAGAAGCGGUGAUGAAACGUCGGAGGAGUGUGCAGAAAGAGGA